rnacentral:rRNA from 1 species
UUAGAGUUUGAUCAUGGCUCAGGACGAACGCUGGCGGCGUGCUUAACACAUGCAAGUCGAGCGGGUACAUUUCCUUCGGGAGAUGUGCUAGCGGCGGACGGGUGAGGAACACGUGAACAAUCUGCCCACAGCAGGGGAACAACAUCGGGAAACCGGUGCUAAUACCGCAUAAGCCCACAGUAUCGCAUGAUACAGGGGGAAAAGGAAGCAAUUCCGGCAGUGGAGGAGUUCGCGGCCCAUUAGAUAGUUGGCGAGGUAACGGCUCACCAAGUCUACGAUGGGUAGCCGGCCUGAGAGGGUGACCGGCCACACUGGGACUGAGACACGGCCCAGACUCCUACGGGAGGCAGCAGUGGGGAAUAUUGGGCAAUGGGGGAAACCCUGACCCAGCAACGCCGCGUGAGGGAAGAAGGCCUUAGGGUCGUAAACCUCUGUCCCAUGAGAAGAAACAAAUGACGGUAUCAUGGGAGGAAGCUCCGGCUAACUACGUGCCAGCAGCCGCGGUAAUACGUAGGGAGCGAGCGUUGUCCGGAAUUAUUGGGCGUAAGGGCGCGUA